rnacentral:rRNA from 1 species
UACGUAGGGGGCGAGCGUUGUCCGGAAUUAUUGGGCGUAAAGAGCGUGUAGGCGGUUCGGUAAGUCUGCCGUGAAAACCUGAGGCUCAACCUCGGGCGUGCGGUGGAUACUGCCGGGCUAGAGGACGGUAGGGGAGCGUGGAAUUCCUGGUGUAGCGGUGAAAUGCGCAGAUAUCAGGAGGAAUACCGGUGGCGAAGGCGGCAUCCUGGACCGAGAUUGACACUGAUGAGCGAAAGCCAGGGGAGCAAACGGG